rnacentral:tRNA from 1 species
GGAGGUGUAGUCCUAACUGGUAAGGCAGCGGUCUUGAAAACCGCCGGGUUUACGCCCUUGGGGGUUCGAAUCCCUCCACCUCCG